UACGGAGGGUGCGAGCGUUGUCCGGAAUCACUGGGCGUAAAGGGCGCGUAGGCGGCGCGGUAAGCGUGCGGUGAAAGCCCGGGGCUCAACCCCGGGUCGGCCGUGCGGACUGCCGGGCUCGAGCACUGUAGAGGCGGGUGGAAUUCCGGGUGUAGCGGUGGAAUGCGUAGAGAUCCGGAAGAACACCGGUGGCGAAGGUGGCCCGCUGGGCAGUGGCUGACGCUGAGGCGCGACAGCGUGGGGAGCAAACAGG
rnacentral:rRNA from 1 species